UACGUAGGGUGCGAGCGUUAAUCGGAAUUACUGGGCGUAAAGCGUGCGUAGGUGGUUCGUUGUGUCUGUGGUGAAAGCCCCGGGCUUAACCUGGGAAUGGCCAUGGAAACUGGCGAGCUGGAGUCUGGCAGAGGGGGGGUGGAAUUCCGCGUGUAGCAGUGAAAUGCGUAGAGAUGCGGAGGAACACCGAUGGCGAAGGCAGCCCCCUGGGCUAAGACUGACGCUGAGGCACGAAAGCGUGGGGAGCAAACAGGG
rnacentral:rRNA from 1 species